rnacentral:rRNA from 1 species
GAUGAACGCUGGCGGCGUGCCUAAUACAUGCAAGUCGAGCGAACAGACGAGGAGCUUGCUCCUCUGACCUUAGCGGCGGACGGGUGAGUAACACGUGGAUAACCUACCUAUACGACUGGGAUAACUUCGGUAAACCGGAGCUAAUACCGGAUAAUAUAUUGAACCGCAUGGUUUAAUAGUGAAAGACGGUUUUGCUGUCACUUAUAGAUGGAUCCUCGCCGCAGUAGCUAGUUGGGAAGGUAACGGCUUACCAAGGCAACGAUGCGUAGCCGACCUGAGAGGGUGACCAGCCACAGUGGAACGGAGACCUGGUCCAGACCCAUACGGGGGGCAGGAGUAGGGACUCUUCCGCAAUGGGCGAAAGCCGGACGGAGCAACGCGGCGUGAGUGAUGAAGGUCUUAGUACCGUAAAACUCUGUUAUUAGGGAAGAACAAAUGUGUAGGUAACUAUGCACGGCUGGACGGUACCUAAGCAGAAAGCCACGGCUAACUACGUG